GUGAGCGCCGCCAUCUUGUUUCUGUGGUUUUGCGGGAACAGCUGGCCUCCGUCGGGCGCUGCGCUGCUUUAGGUCUCCUGGCCCUUCCGCCCUCCUCCGCGUGGAGUUUGCGUGGGUGAUUCCCGAGAGCAUUGCAGGCUGGAAGUGCAGGCUCCCGCCAUGGUGAAGAUCUUCGUGGGAGGGGUCUCCCCUUCUGUCACAGUGGAUGAGCUGAAGAAGCUCUUUGAGCAGUAUGGACAGGUGAAUGAGUGUGACAUCCUGAAAAAUUUCGCCUUUGUGCACAUGGAGAAGGAGGACGAGGCCCACAAGGCCAUCAGCGAGCUGCACAAGCAGGAGUUCUACGGGGCCCACCUAACGGUGGAGUACGCCACCUCCAAGAUCCGUAACGCCACCAAGAUCUAUGUGGGCAAUGUGUCCAGCAAGGCCACGACAGCACAGAUCAAGGAGCUCUUUGAGAAGUUUGGCAAGGUGGUGGAGUGCGACAUUGUAAAGAACUAUGCCUUUGUCCACAUGGCCAAGGAGAGGGAAGCCAUGGAUGCCAUCUUGAACCUCAACGACAUGCCUCUGGAGGACCAGAAGAUCUUUGUAACGCUGUCCAAGAGCAACAACUCGCUCAAGACAACCAAGGGGACCUCUGUGCCACCUCCAACCCCCCCCAGCUACUACUUUCCCAGGGGGCGCAUCCCCCCGCCACCACCUCCGUAUACCCACUAUGCGCCCCGAUCUUGGUAUGACCGGGAAUAUUACGACCGCUAUGCCUAUGAGCUCUACAACCGGGCGAUGACUGCCAGGACAGCAUACGAGAGGGCCCUGCCACCUCCGCCCUCUACCCCCACCGCAUACAGAGAGAGGAGCCCUGUGGGCAGGCGGACGACCGCUGUGGUGGCCCAAUAUACUGAUCCCUACGCUGCCGCGGCUGCCGCCCAGACAUACAGCCAAGUGUACAACCAAACGGGUUAUGCAGCAGUGGCGGCUGCAGCCGCAGCAGCAGCUACCUACUCCCAGUACACCAUGGGUGCCACCUACAGUGCAGGGGAGUACUAUGAGAAAUACAGCAACGGCUAUGCCACUCAAUAUGCCCAGACGUACUAAUCUGACUGGGCUCAUAGUACCCGGUGCUCGGAGGCGUAAGGGGGAAAGGGAUCUCGGCUGCAAAGGUGCAGGCAGAGCUGAUUCAAGACAGCGCAAUGCCUUUAACCACCACCCUGCUGAAGGAAGCGUGAAGCCUCCACUACAAGCUUGAGAGCAGACUCUGGGCAGAACAUGGUCACCGGCUGGGGCCAGGAAUUGCACCCCCCCAUUGGUACAGCAUUGGGUAAUGCCUUCUAUUGAUGUGGGAUACAGAACUAGGUGGACCACUGGUGUGUGAGAGAAGUGAUAGAGAGACCCUUUCAUUCCCCCAGCAGCACGUCUGGGAGGUGAAGUGGGAGCAUCAGAAAAAAACAGUCGACAGGGUAAACGUCUCCCUCUGGCAUCUGUCCAUGGCAGACUGAGAUUGACCCUAUCCCAAAGAGACCUUACAUCAAGGUAACCCCCAGACCAGGAACUCUUUUGGCCUCAGAUGACAUGUCAGGGGAAGAGCAGGAUUUCUGGAGGACCCACCAAGCAUCCUGCUAGCAGAGGUGAAAGAUGACUUGAGGGAUUCCCUGAAGAUCUCCCAGUCUCUUCUCUCUAACCACUGUGAGCCUUAAACACCCAUGGGGACUCCAACCUGAGAUGAAGCAGGAGGUAAGCGCUUUUCUCCCCCCUUCCCUUUCACUCACACUCCAAGAGGAAGGAAUAGUCGUGUGCUUCUAUCACAGACAGCACAAGAUCUGGGUUCUGGUCCCUGGUUCUGGCACUGACCUCCGGGCAAGUCUGUGGAUCUCCUCUAUAAAAGGGGGAAGGGUUGAUUCAAGUUUGGUUAAGAUCUCCACUGGCUGAUGCUGAGUCAAGUAGUAUUAGAAAUCCCUGCCGCGGAGAGGUUAUGUUCUGAAAACAUGUGCCACCUGCCUUACUGUGGUAAUCUAAUUUAGGUCUUUAUAUGGUUCCCAUAGUGACUUGAUCACUGUCUGCAGCCGGGGUGGAGAUUUGAGAGUAGAGCAGUCUUUAAUCUCACAGACAAAGGCAGAACAAGAGCCAAUCGGUGGACGUUGAAACGAGACAAAUUCAGACUGGAAAUAAGACAGAUUUUUAACCCCGAGAGGAAUUAGCCAGUGAACAUAGGGACGUUGUGGAUUCUCCAUCACUUGGAGUCUUUAAGUCAAGACUGGCUCUCUUUCCUAAACCUGCACUGUACCUCACACAAAUUACAGGAGUGAUGCAGGAAAAGGGAUUCUCUGACCUAUAGUAUGCAGGAUGUGAACCUUGAUGAUCAGAAUGGGCCGUUCUGGUCUUCAAAGCAGUGAAUCAUUUCCGCAGUGUGUGAGCAUCUCAGUUUUGAAUAGAUUUAUCUUCCCAACACCUCUGUGAGGCAGGGCAACGCUGUUCUCCCCAUUUUACAGAUGGGGAAACUGAGGCACAAAGCAACUAAAUGACUCUGCCAAGUUCACGCAGACAGACUGGCAGAGCAGGGACUCAAACCCAGGUCUCCUGACUCCCAGUCCUGCACCUGAGCGUUAAGAUCAUUCUUCAUCUUCUAAGUUACGUAACAUUAGGGUUGCCUGCUUGAAGAAAUACAGACCCUUGGCUCUGGUUAGGUGGCCCUACUAGUGCCAUGAGCCCAGGCUCAGUGUGGGGUGAAUGCAGCCUAAGGUGAACAUACAGAUCUAGGGCAGCUGACAGUUCCCAGCUUCAAUUCCUUGGUACUACUGCAUCAAAAUGGGUGCGCUCUCCUCUUCCUCAUCAACCUGAAUAGGAAGGGGCAGAUUGAGGUAAACCCAGGCCUUUGGCACAACAGACCACCCACAACAUGAUCCGUGUGUGGAACGGCUUGGCGACGACGAGAACUGAAAGGAAGCCUGGAGCUGGGGAGCCUCCAGCUGAAAUUCUCUUCUCUUCUUACUCUCUCCUAGAGCAGAGCGGAUUGGGCCUUCUCUCUCUCUCUGUCUCUCUCUCUUUCCCUCCCAGCCCAACUCCACCAUCCCUUGUUCUCCGAAAGCAGCGAGCUCCAUCCCCGCCACAGUGCUCUGGAUGCUGUCGGAAGGCUCCCUGCUCGGUGAGAUUCUCCACACCUCCUGGCUGCUGGGUAACGGGCGACGGGCACAAACUCAGCCUUGGCCCAGCUCUGCCCGGGGAGAUCUGCAUGGAGCUAGGAGUUGGGAGAGGUCUUUCCCUGUGAUCACGACUGGUGCUUGGGGUGGGAUUGAUCUUUCAAGGUGUUGAGAACUCUCAUCACCUGGUGGGUGGGAUGCCGGCUUGUAAGGCUGGCAUGCUUUCUCCAUCUAGGGGUGUUGGGACAGGAGGGAAUUCUCUGGCGUAAAGAUCCAGGUUGUCCCAAUUUCCUUCUGGGUGAUAAAAUUCUUCCUGUAGCCUUUGGUUUGGGUGAGACUGGUGGGGGCAGCCUUGCAUCUUCGCUCUAUACCAAGGCAGCUCAGAUUUGGUGGGGCCUCUUCUCUGCCUCAGAAAGAUCUCUAAACCGCUGCUUCUAGGUGGGAGUCACCUUGCUUCCUUGUCUAACCCGGGGCCUUGACCAACACCACACCUUCCACAGCUUCCCUCCUUGAUCCCUGCCCCCUGACAUGGGGGGGUCCCGCAUCAGAGAUGGGGCCAACAGAGCUCGUGUGUGGGACGAGAACGGAGGCGUGUCUACCACCGGGUACCUUCAGCAGUAGUCUCGACUCCUUAUUCAUUGCAAUUGGCUCCAGCAGAGAAGAAUGGAGUGCGGGGACUGCAGGCUCCUCUGCAUUGGAUGAGCAUGGCGAGCUGCUCCUGAGGCUGAGCUGCUUCUGUGGUGGGAUAAUGGCCCAGUGGUGAGGAUGCUUGGGAGACCUGGGUUUAAUUCCCAGCUCUGCCACAGACUCCUGGUGUCACCUUGGGCAGGCCACUCUGUCUCGGUUUUCACCAUCUGGACAAUGGGGAUAAUAGCUCAACACUGCCUCAUGAUGGGGAGGAGGAAAAAGAGGUGAGGCUUCAAGGCACCCAAAUAAAGGCAAUCCCUGGCUCUUAUGAGCAGAUCUCAGAGCACAUUACAAAGCAGGUCAGAAUCAUGACACCCCCCCCCCCCCAUUCAGGGGAACUCUGAAGCACAGAGUGGAAACGUGAUUUGCCCAUGGUCACCCAGCAGGCCAGUGGCAGAGCCCCACUCUCCUGAGUCCUAGUCCCGUGCAUGAUCCCCUGGGCCACACAGGCUCUCCUAAUGGGGACCAGAUAAGUACCUUAGAUGGUCAGAAGUACAGAACAGUUGGUGUUAGAGGGCCACCUACCCCAGAGCAAGGAGAAGGGGAAUCCUAUAUAAUGGGAAAGGCUACUUCUGAAGCUAGACUGACUCCGCCUCCCACUUCUUCCAGUAGCCUUUUCUUCCUUCCCCUGGAAACAUGGAGCACAGUUCCCAGGCUAUGGGUGUGGUCAUAGGAUGGGGAUCUCCCAAAUGAUUGAUAGUCAGUGCCCUCCUAGGUACUAUUUCCUAGAACAUUGUUUACUCUGCUUGUCAGUAGCCUCGCUCCCAUGAGGAAAGUGAAAGUGUCAAGUGUUUUGUUUUGUUUUUAACUUUCCAUUGUCUGGCAUUCAGUCUCACAGUCCUUUAUCAGUGCCAGCAGUGCUGAGAACCUCCAGCUCCUGUACUUCAUAUGAGUUGGGGGCUGCUCUGCAUUUCUGAAAAACAGGUCACUUCCCCUCUCUGGCUCCUUUCUCCAGCCUCACUCCUGUGGAGGGUUGAAGGGCUGGUUCGUCUCUAACUCCUGAGAGUUGGAUCCCCUGUAGGUACAGGGGAGGGUGUUUGCUCUUUUGCUGAGAUAGAGAGGACUUCACUCUCCAGAGCUUGUACUCCACUAUCAGGUGCUAGUAUGAAAUUCAGUCCCAGAACGGAGAGGGCACCAAUUUUUGCACUGAUCAAAUAGCUCAAUCAGUUUCUCCAUCCUGGUUCCUGAAGGGCUUCUGUGGAGGAGGGAGGCUUGGAGGUGACAGCCAUAACCAGUGAAAUGAAGAAUGGCUACAAAUUUCCCUGCUACUGGUCAUUUGUGAUGCUACUGUAUUUCUCUGUGCUCACCACCUUGAAUAGCUACCUGGUUGUGCUGCAGAACCUCCUUCCAGCUGAGGGACGCAGAGGCAUUUGUACACCUUGCAUAGCACCAGCUUGGUGCUCUGCAGCUGUUGCAGCACCCUCUCUUUUCAGUAAAGGUAGACAGUGAGAUGUGUAAACAUAAAAAGAAAAGGAGGACUUGUGGCACCUUA